rnacentral:rRNA from 1 species
UGGGGGAUAUUGCACAAUGGGGGGGAACCCGUGAUGCAGCGACGCCGCGUGGGUGAAGUAGCGCCUCGGCGCGUAAAGCCCUGUCAGCAGGGAAGAAAAUGACGGUACCUGAAGAAGAAGCCCCGGCUAACUACGUGCC